rnacentral:lncRNA from 1 species
CUCAUCGGGGUCUUCCUCUGGGUCUUCUUCUUGGUCUUCUUCUAACGUGCUUUGCUCCGAUUUAUCUGGUAAUGGUACGGGAAAACUUUCAUCUAGAACUCUCGAAAAGCACUUAGCCAACGGUCCCUUAACUAGUUUAGAUUUGGUAGCUCGUAAACUGGUAUUCAUGGAUAAGGAUAUAGUCUUCUUAAAGUUUCGGUGUAAAUCACGGCUAAUCCCAUAGCUCUCUCGAAGCAAAUAUGUAAGGUCCUCAUACGAAAGGUCAUCAUCAGACCAUAACACAAUCUCAUUUAUGACUGAGGCCCAAGGUUCUGGAACAGUUUCAUAUAAUCUCUGUAUCUUCACCUUAUCCCUUAAACUAUGGUGUAUCUCCCAUAACAUCUCAAUAAUACAGUUUAACAGGUCCAAAUGUUGUUCGAGACUAUGGAGCGGAUGCAUACGAUAACUAUAGUAAAAUGCCAAUAAUAUGUCCCGCUUCUUCACAAAACCACAAGCUUCUGUCCUUGUGGGGGUUCUUACCAGUCGUGCCAUAACUAGGACAAACAUUGAUCAUAUUACUCUACAAGAUUCUCAUAAAUAUCUAGAUAUAGGUGUUUAUGACUUCAUAAUCUCAAUCAUGACUUGAUUAAAAAUAUUCCUAUAUCUAGCCAUAGAUAUAACAGUUCAUUACAUAAGAAAACUCAUGAAUUAAAAAUAAAUUUUACCUUGAUCGUUGGUUGAAAGUCAGUUGCUAGCUUCUUCGAUGAUUAAGGACAGUAACUUUCUUUUAAAAAGUCUACAGAAAAGUAAACCUUGCUCUGACACCACACUGUGACGCCCCGAACUUACGCUUCGAGGCUCACGUACUAAACAUAAUAGCUUCUGCCUUUGGUACAUGUAAAUACUCUUAAAUAGAAGUGUUACAUGUGAAAAACUUAUUUUCAACUUGGUAAAAUAAUUCUUAUAAAAUUUGAUGGCCGAUAGAAGUGCAUAUCGACAAGGAAUUAUGCUUCACAUAUACGGCCUUGGCACUGACAAGAUUAGUCGGGGCAGCAAGUUUGACAAUUUUUAUAAAAUUCAUCCCAACUCCAUUUUCUAUGAAAUUUGUGGCAUUAGAAAGAUAAUUUCAAUUAAUUUUCUAGAUUAAAAUAUGAAAAUUUUCCAAGAUCAUAUGAUAUAGACGUUUUACUGAAAACAGUGAAGUAUUACACAGGAAAUCCAGAUUGACCUUUAGACGUUAAAACCUUGAUAACUCAGGCCAUAGUUAUCCAAAUUGAGUGAUUCCUGUGGCCAUAUUUAGAAAACUCAAAGAGGAAAACAUACAUAUUUUUAGAGUUUCAAAUGGACGUUUAUAGAGUUAGAAACAUCGUUUUGAAAUUGACUCCAGAAACUGUCC